rnacentral:RNase_P_RNA from 2 species
CGAGUUUGCCGGACGGCCGCGGUUGGGUAACAGCAAUCGAGGAAAGUCCGGACUCCAUAGGACAGGGAGCUGGGUAACGCCCAGGCGGGGUGACCCGACGGAAAGUGCCACAGAGAGCAGACCGCCGAUGGCCCGUUUUGGCGGGCACAGGCAAGGGUGAAAGGGUGGUGUAAGAGACCACCGGCAUUCCGGGAGACCGGAGUGGCCGGCAAACCCCUCCCGGAGCAAGGUCAAGCAGAAGCGCCGGUGGUCCGCCGAUCAAGCUUCGGGUAGACCGCACCGAGGUCCGGUGGUAACGCCGACCCCAGAUGGAUGGCCGUCACCUGCCCGGCAGGUACAGAAUCCGGCUUACAGGCAGACUCGUCGC